UAGUAACUGCGAGUGAAGCGGGAAAAGCUCAAAUUUAAAAUCUGGUGGUCUUUUGGCCAUCCGAGUUGUAAUUUAGAGAAGCGUCUUCCGCGCUGGACCGUACACAAGUCUCCUGGAACGGAGCGUCAUAGAGGGUGAGAAUCCCGUCUUUGGUACGGACCCCCAGGGCUUCUGUGAUGCGCUCUCGAAGAGUCGAGUUGUUUGGGAAUGCAGCUCAAAAUGGGUGGUGAACUCCAUCUAAAGCUAAAUAUUGGCGAGAGACCGAUAGCGAACAAGUACCGUGAGGGAAAGAUGAAAAGCACUUUGGAAAGAGAGUGAAACAGUACGUGAAAUUGUUGAAAGGGAAACGCUUAAAGUCAGUCGCGUCCGCCGAGACUCAGCCUCGCUCCGGCUUGGUGUAUUUCUCGGUCGACGGGUCAGCAUCAAUUUUGUCCCUCGGAUAAUGGCGAGAGAAAGGUGGCACCUUUGCCGGUGUGUUAUAGUCUUUUGUCGCAUGCGAGGGGUGAGAUUGAGGAACUCAGCACGCGCGCCCUUCUGGGUGUGUCGGGGCCAAUGCCCACGCCACGUGCUUAGGAUGCUGGCGUAAUGGCUUUAAACGACCUGUCUUGAA
rnacentral:rRNA from 1 species